rnacentral:rRNA from 1 species
AGAGUUUGAUCCUGGCUCAGGACGAACGCUGGCGGCGUGCCUAAUACAUGCAAGUCGAGCGAACUUGGAGGAAGCUUGCUUCCUCCCUGUUAGCGGCGGACGGGUGAGUAACACGUGGGCAACCUGCCUGUAAGACUGGGAUAACACCGGGAAACCGGUGCUAAUACCGGAUAAUCCUUUUCCUCUCAUGAGGAAAAGCUGAAAGUCGGUUUCGGCUGACACUUACAGAUGGGCCCGCGGCGCAUUGGCUAGUUGGUGAGGUAACGGCUCACCAAGGCGACGAUGCGUAGCCGACCUGAGAGGGUGAUCGGCCACACUGGGACUGAGACACGGCCCAGACUCCUACGGGAGGCAGCAGUAGGGAAUCUUCCACAAUGGACGAAAGUCUGAUGGAGCAACGCCGCGUGAGCGAUGAAGGCCUUCGGGUCGUAAAGCUCUGUUGUUAGGGAAGAACAAGUACCGGAGUAACUGCCGGUACCUUGACGGUACCUAACCAGAAAGCCACGGCUAACUACGUGCCAGCAGCCGCGGUAAUACGUAGGUGGCAAGCGUUGUCCGGAAUUAUUGGGCGUAAAGCGCGCGCAGGCGGUCCUUUAAGUCUGAUGUGAAAGCCCACGGCUCAACCGUGGAGGGUCAUUGGAAACUGGGGGACUUGAGUGCAGAAGAGGAAAGCGGAAUUCCACGUGUAGCGGUGAAAUGCGUAGAGAUGUGGAGGAACACCAGUGGCGAAGGCGGCUUUCUGGUCUGUAACUGACGCUGAGGCGCGAAAGCGUGGGGAGCAAACAGGAUUAGAUACCCUGGUAGUCCACGCCGUAAACGAUGAGUGCUAAGUGUUAGGGGGUUUCCGCCCCUUAGUGCUGCAGCUAACGCAUUAAGCACUCCGCCUGGGGAGUACGGCCGCAAGGCUGAAACUCAAAGGAAUUGACGG